UUCAACUAAAGAGCCAAGCGUGGUUCAGCCUGAAAGUGAAUAAGAUUAUGCAAGGGGCGGGGCACUGGCUGAGUCAAGAGGAAGGGCACCGAGCGCCAGCAUCCAAUCUUCUGCUUUCUGCCUCAGAUGCAAUGUGACCAGCUGCCUCACGCUCCUCCUGGCCCGGCUAGAGCUGCUCUUCCCACUACACUGCGUCGUGAUGGGCCUAUGAAUCCAUCCUUCAAGUAAAAAUGCUUGCCUUCCUCUACACAAAGUCCCCAAGAAUUCCACUGGCUAAUGAGAUCCCCUUCAGUAGAAGCACCCCAAAGUUGGGCUUUAGGCUCCGGGCCACCCUCCCUGUAGGGUGCUUCCAUCACUGUGUAACCUUAGAGAGCCAGAUUCUCCGGAACUGUGUCCCUCACAACUCAGCGUCAGUGUCCUGAUGUCACAGCUGGACAAGGUUUGAGACCAGCCUUGGAAGGUAUUCACUGGAUACUGAGGAAGCCAUGUUCUAAAGGGUCGAAGGCCUUUGAGAAAAGCUAUGUGUUUAGCUAGUAGAAGAACCAAGACUUCUGCUUCUUGCUACCCCACGGCUUUCUUGCUAUGCCCCAUGUCUGAGCAACUCCCUGGAAGUGAUCGUAACAAGCCACCUCUGGACACGUGGAGCUUCACUGAGGCGUUCCUGUCUCUCAGCGGCUAACUCAGCUCAGGCAGAGACCCAGUGCUUCUCCCUGGGCCUGAGCACAUCUCCCAUUUUAUCUCCAAAACAAGAAGAGGAGUCAAUCCUGUGUUGAGGGAGGAGGUACAGUAACCCAGGGAUGCUGAUAAUAUAUUUUCACUAAGAAAAGACAUUAUUGGGCCAAGUGACAAAAAAAAAAAAAAAGGAGGGUAGACUGUGGACAAAAUAGAUAGCAAUGUUGGUUAAGUGUCAACUUUCCUGAUUCCAACUACAUAUUGUGGUUUUAUUCUUAGGAGACAUACAAUGAGCAAGAAAUGAUUUAAAAUGGUAUCUGUCUAUCUAGAUUAAAAUUAUAAAUAUACAGAGAAUGACAAAAUGCUGGGAUAAAAUGAUAACUGGUGAUUCGCACGUAGAAGGAACACAAGAGUUCUUUGCACGGUUGGCUCUUGGACUUUCUCUGUAACUUUGAAAUAAUAUCAAAAUGGCUGUUUCAAAAACCCCAUCAUGAGGCAUGCAGCACACACACUGAGAGGCCUCUAGAUUCAGGGACACAGGUCAGUGCCUUUCCUGACUCCUCUGCCACCCCACCUCCUCCUGCUGCCACUGCGGGCCAGGGGGAAGAACUGUCGGCCCUUGUGUUUGUGUGGUCAACAUGGAGCGAGGCCAAGUCUACAGCAAGGUGAAAGGGGACGAGGCAGGAAGACGGACCACAACGGCUCCGUUCCUUACCAGCUGGGAGACCCUAAGGCAGUCUGCUCUGACCCUGUCUCACCCUCCUCAGGAUUGCACAGAACGGGGUUCCAGACCUGAAGACGGGGUGGCUGGACCUCUGUCCCUGUCAGGUGCGCACGACUGUCCUUGAGCUUUCAACAGCUUAUUAAAGUCUACUCAGAACAGUCCUGACUCCUCCGCUGUCUGAGUGGAUCUCACUUCGUGUAAACAUCUUGGAGAGAUUCUACCUUCACGCUGGCUACCCCACCAUGAAGGCUGAGGGAGGACCUCUGACCCUUCGGUCCGAUUAGCCGUGUUCCAAGAGCUCAGCAGCAGCAAAGGCAAACACACGGCUUUACACAGAAAAGAAUAACGCAGCCAUAAAACACAAUCUUAUCAUGGAAAGAAAACUGAUCUUUGGAACAAGGAGACUGGAUCGCUUCCCUCUACUAGUAGAAGUGAGAGCUUAUCUUCUGGUUUUGUUUUCUGUUUUGAUUUUUUAAAUUUUUUUCUUUUUUGAGAGUCUCACUCUGUAUCCUAGGUGGGCAUAGAACUCACUAUGUAACCCAGGCUAGCCUCACCUCAGCUUCUCAAAUAUUGGGAUUACAAGUGUGCACCAUGCCUGGCUUUCUGUUUAUUUUAAAACUUAGUGUGUUCUGGCAAUGGUCAAGGAACUCUGUGCCCUGUAAAACUGGAACUUUAAUAAGGUAGUUCUGCUAAUAAAAGCCACACUAAUAAGCACAGCAGAAGACGAGGCUGCAUUAUGGCUUUUGAGGACUUUAGGAACCUCUGUGUCUAUCAUUAGAUACUUUUAUUUGAUAGGUAUUAAAUUUUGAUUAUGUAGGUUACAUUUUACAACUGCAUAAAGAUGAAUAAAUUAAUAUUACA